ACACCAAUGUAGAUGAGCGGUUACCUAAAAGGAAAUUAAUAUAGAGAUAACUAUAUUCAGCUUACUAGCAUGUUCGAGCCAAGCUCUUGGAAUUUCGAAUAUUGCCUUUUCUGAUUGUGCCUCCUUUUUUAACUUCUCUUGGUCCAAGAAGCUAGACGAAUCAGCUAACACAAGAUCUGUAGACCACUUUAUGUUUAUGACUUUUGGUUCAACAAGCCUUAACAUUGGGAGUUAGGAAGAGUACCUAUAAAUAUGACACACUUACCAGUUAUCUUUGAUCAUGUCCACGAAAUGUCUAUUUAUUAGCAUUUGAACGUUCUACUGUUAGCAUUACCUGUGAUAAACAAUCUCAUCUAGGCCACAAGCCAACCCUUUUCCGUCUGCUCUGAAAAGAGUCGCAGUAAGUCCUAUCACAUUCACUUUCGAUUUUUCCGAUUCUGCGCCAAAAUGCUCAAGGAUUCGUAAGUACGAAGGAGACGCCAUAUGGUGAACUUCAUCAAAAAUUAAAAGUUUAAAAUUGAGAGGAUUAUAUUUAAGUAGUCUUUCAUUUUUUAAAGAAAAAACUGACGCAACGGUAACAUCAGCCAGUCCGGAUGCACACUGAUUGCCCAUAUCAAUCUCAAUAGACUAUGGCAAAGUUAGUAAACGAAACAGCGUGGAAUCUAUUUGGAAAAAGAACGGUACCUUAUUCGGAAGGCUUUCUCGGCAAUGCUUGAGGGCCUGUAAAGCUAACUCCUUUCUGUGAACCAAAAUUAGACAUUGCUCAGAGUUUGGCCUUAAAGUAGGUGCAUAUUUUAUAAAGUGGGGAAACAAUGCCUUUAGACGUGUUAAUAUUGCAGUCAGUAGUAGAACAGUAAUACCGUUUUACCAGAGCCUGUAGCUAAUGAAACAGCAAUUCGACGUUUACCUUCAUCAAAAGCGUUUAAGCAGGCACUGAGGCAUUCUUCUUGAUAAGGACGAAGUUUAAGAGCAAAUCUUCUAAAUAUAGUUGAACCAUUUCUUGGCCACAAAUUCUUUUUGCAACAUGCGUUUAGUAGCAUGUCUACGGCAAGAUAAUCUCUGACACAAAAAUAAUUUUAUAACUAUAGAAUACAGCAAUGGAUAAGGGCAUAAAAUGGCUUAGUUAAAAUAAUUUGUCAGAGCAUAAAUUAGCAUGACAUGCAGACAAUUAAUUAUUACUUACUUUUAUUGACUUACAAAGGCUAACUAAGAUAUAAAAUUUGAAAGUUCUAUAAACAUUAUAGAAAAAAAAAUUUUAAAUUUUAGCAAUUUCAUAAUAUAUGCAAAUAAUUUACUACCAACCUUAUGUCCAAGCAUUGGUAUAGUAUCAAUAACUCAAGCAAAUUAUUCCCCAAGUUGUAAACAAAUCACUUACAGAUAAAUAAAUACGGGUGGAUUUAAAAUCCGCUUCUUUUCUUUUUCUUUUUGGAAGGACGAGAACCAUAUUUGCCACUAACGACUUGUGACAUUAUUGGGAUAGUUUGGCUAGAACUCUCCGAGUAUAGCGAUGAAAAAUUAGGAACAUCUUCUUGAGAAAAGACUGUCGCAAUUUGGCUUGAGGGAAGUACAGAAGACUGCUGUUGUGAAAUGUAGAAAUCACUAAAUUGGCUAGAUGAUGGAUCCUCCGUUUCGACAGCGCUAUCACCAAUGACAUAAGUUGAAGAUAUCUUUCCAAUCUCCCAAUUCUCCAAAAUAUUUCUAACAUCUUCAUUCAGCUCCAGGCCUUCCGUAUCAUAAAAAGGUUUGAUAAAUGUAAGCAAGUCGGUUGAAUCGAUUUCCUUUCGAGACAAUGAUGGAUCAAAUAUUUUUUCCCUGGAGACUCCUAUAGAAGAAAGAAAUAAAUAGUGAAUAACAUUUUUUAUAGAUCUUCUUUGAGAAGACUGAAAGCAAGGAAUUUCGACAGACUUAUCAGUAUUAGAUUCCCAGC